GGGAUCACGCUGGCGGCGUGCCUAUUACAUGCCCCUCGAGCGCGGGAAGCCGCUGAUCCUCUUCGGAGGUGACGCUUGUGGAACGAGCGGCGGACGGGUGAGUAACACGUGGGCAACCUGCCUGUAAGACUGGGAUAACCCCGGGAAACCGGGGCUAAUACCGGAUAAUACUUUUCAUCACCUGAUGUGAAGUUGAAAGGUGGCUUUUAUCUACCACUUACUGAUGGGGCCGCGGCGCAUUAUCUAUUUGGUGAGGUAACGGCUCACCAAGGCAACGAUGCGUAGCCGACCUGAGAGGGUGAUCGGCCACACUGGGACUGAAACACGGCCCAUACUCCUACGGGAGGCAGCAGUAGGGAAUCUUCCGCAAUGGACGAAAGUCUGACGCUGCAACGCCGCGUGAGUGAUGAAGGUUUUCGGAUCGUAAAGCUCUGUUGUUAGGGAAAAACAACUGCCGUUCGAAUAGCGGCGGCACCUUGUCGGUACCUAACCAGAAAGCCCCGGCUAACUACGUGCGAGCAGCCGCGGUAAUACUGAUGGGGCAAGUCUUGUCCGGAAAUAUUGGGCCACAAAGCCCCGCCCAGCGGGCCUUUACGUCCUGAU
rnacentral:rRNA from 1 species